UGCAGAAAAUGCUGAAAAUGACUUUGAGAUCAAUCUGGGGCACACAACAUUUCAUACUCAUUUUGCGGAAAUAGUGGCAAACGCACCUGUAGAUGUAAAGGGUGAGCCAAAUGAGUAUCAUUCACCUACAUUCAUGCCUAACCUGGUGAAAUAUUUCCUACCUCAGGCAGUUUUGUGGUCUGGUCUUAUGCUGGGUGAUCUUGGCCGCCAUGGAAACGGACCAGCCUACAAUCAUUUUUCCAAGAUCUUUAUGCGAUGCAGUCAGUCAGGCACACAGGUACAUGUUUGAUAAUAUCUUACACAGUGAAUACAUAACUUGUACAAAAUGACAUGCAUAAUAUGUGUACUC